GACGAACGCUGGCGGCGUGCUUAACACAUGCAAGUCGAACGGAAAGGCCCUGCUCUUGUUGCUUUCUCGAUUGGCGAACGGGUGAGUAUCACGUGAGUAUCCUGCCCUUGACUUUGUGAUAACUCCAGGAAACUCGGGCUCAUACCGGAUAUGAGCUCCUGCUGCAUGGUGUGGGUUGGAAAGUUUCGGUGGUUGUGGAUGGACUCGCGGCUUAUCAGCUUGUUGGUGGGGUAGUGGCGUACCAAGGCUUUGACGGGUAGCCGGCCUGAGAGGGUUAACGGCGACAUGGGGCCUGAGAGGCGGAGCAGACUGCAACGGGAGGCAGCAGGGGGGAAUAUUACAGAAUGGGCGGAAGCCUGAUGCAGCAACGCCGCGUGCGGGAUGACGGGCUUCGGGGUGUAAACAGAUUUCGACUGUGACGAAGAGUGAGUGACGGUAAUGGGUAAAGAAGCACCGGCUAACUACGUG
rnacentral:rRNA from 1 species